rnacentral:rRNA from 1 species
UACGAAGGUGGCAAGCGUUGUUCGGAUUUACUGGGCGUACAGGGAGCGUGGGCGGUUGGAUAAGCCCUCCGUGAAAUCUCCAGGCUUAACCUGGAAAGUGCAGAGGGGACUGUUCAGCUAGAGGAUGGGAGAGGAGCGCGGAAUUCCCGGUGUAGCGGUGAAAUGCGUAGAGAUCGGGAGGAACAUCCGUGGCGAAGGCGGCCAUCUGGAUCAACACUGACGCUGAGGCACGAAAGCGUGGGGAGCAAACAGG